GGGCAGCUCCAGAGGGGUGAGAUCUAGUGGAUUACGAGUCUUCUGGUUCCCUGUUUUCCUAGGAUGCUGUGAACUUUGUGAGAACAAGAACAGUGUCUGCAGGACACAAGAAGUAUCAUCUGAAAAGGACCCCAACAACUUGCUCUGAGUCUCAGCUCUGGGGGUUCCCCCAAUAAAACCUGAUCCUUAACCCAUACUGUGUGAUGUGCAGAAAUUUAUCCCAAGCCCUGGUACCUCAAUAGGCGGCCAUCACAGAAGUGAUGUCUUCUUCUUCAUAUCCAUUUAUCAAACAUCUGUCAUGCCAGCCCAUGGACAACAGAAGGCACAGACCCCUUGGAUGAUGGGCACCUUCCCUAAACAGAGUCAGCUCAGAUUUCCAAAUACAAGUAUUAAGCAGGGGCCCCAUCACUGUACUCUGUUUAUAGUGUCCUCAUUCUUGGAAACUGGAAAUUCUGAUAACAUUUACUGCACUGUCUAAUGAUAUAACUAGCACAUGCUCUCUGAGGCAGAUCUGGAAAAUAUAAGCAAGGUUAACUUUUUGAUUAAUCUAUCUCUCAAUACAGAAUAUAUGCUCAGCAUAUUCAUUCAUUCACCCCUACACAUAGAUACACAUACACACACACACACACACACACACACACACACCCCCACAGAUUCUGUCUACAUAUUUGGGAUCAACAGUUUGGCUUUUAGUUUCAAAUUAAAAACAUUUUUCUGUGCUUAAGACUCUUUGAAAACACUCUGUGUACUCAAGGCAUCACACCCCACCCCAUGCAGGUUCCAUGACUGAUGUGCCCAUUCCCCUCUCAUUGCCAUGUCGGUGGUUUUGAAUUUGGGGACUGGCUUUGGUAAGCCUAAGUCUGCAACCGGUGCAUUGGCUGUGUCUCUCACAUAAGCCCAUGAGUUCUUCCCCCUUUAAGCCACCUUCUCUCAGAACCUGCAAUCCUUCCUCUUCUGGUCCCCUUGCUCCUGGGUCUGUGUGUAACUUCCCUCUGUUCCUCACCUCAAGGGCAAGUUCUGCGCUAGCCCCCUGCUUCCCCUUCUCCACCAGCUAGCUUCUAUGGUUUCACAUCUUCACAGUCCUUCGAGGCCACAAACAAGAUUCUUCCUGGCUCUCUCCUGCCAUCUCCUGCCCACUCACAACAUCUCUAGCUCCCUGGCUGAAGCGGUACGGUGCUCGGAUGAAUUAGAAAAGGACAAACCUAAAUCCAUGUGAAAACAUGCAAUAUGUUUCCUUGUAAAGUCCCAUGCUUGCUUUGUUUUCAGCUAUCUGCAUAUGACAUUAUGACAAGCCUGAUUUAGCAUCUGAAAAGAGACCUAGAGGCAUAAUUGGUUAAUAAGCUAAAGAAGAAUCAAUACUGGAAUGUGGCUGUCAAAAAAGAAAGUUAGGCUGGGCGCAGUAGCUGACACCUGUAAUCACAGCACUUUGGGAGGCGGUCGGAUCAUGAGGUCAAGAGAUCAAGACCAUCCUGGCCAACAUGGUGAAACCCCGUCUCUACUAAAAAUACAAAAAUUAGCUGGGCACACCUGUAGUCCCAGCUGCUUGGGAGGCUGAAGCAGGAGAAUUGCUUGAACCCGGGAGACAGAGUCAAGAUUGCGCUACUGCACUCCAGUCUGGGUGACAGAGCAAGACUUCAUCUCAAAAAAAAAAAAAAAAAA
ensembl:lncRNA